rnacentral:lncRNA from 1 species
AGUAAAUUUCUUCUUGAAGAUAUCCAUUCAAGAAAAUGAUUCUAACAUCUAUUUACCAAACUUUAUCACCAUAAUGUGCUGCAAUCCGUAACAAAAUCCUUGUGGACUUUCUUCAUAAUCACUUCCAGCUUAAUGAGUAUAAACUUUUGCCACUAGCCAUACUUUAUAGGGCUCUACCUUUUCAACUGGGUCAUAAUUUUCAUUUUUAUAUCUAUUGACUUAACACCUUACAGUGUAUCCACUACGGUUUAUACCCUAUUUGAAUACAUUGAGUUUAUCUCUGAUUUUAUGACUUUUCACCAUUGAGCAACAUCUUUAUCUUUCAUAGUUUCUUU